rnacentral:rRNA from 1 species
UACGGAGGGUGCGAGCGUUAUCCGGAAUUACUGGGUUUAAAGGGCGCGUAGGCGGUCCCUCAAGUCAGGCGUGAAAGCCCCGGGCUCAACCUGGGAACCGCGCUUGAGACUGGCGGACUCGAGUUCGGGAGAGGAUGGUGGAAUUCCCAGUGUAGAGGUGAAAUUCGUAGAUAUUAGGAAGAACACCGAUGGCGAAGGCAGCCAUCUGGACCGACACUGACGCUGAGGCGCGAAAGCGUGGGGAGCAAACAGG